rnacentral:sRNA from 1 species
GUCACCUUGAUUUAGGGCACCUCCUACUUUGAGCAGUAACAGCCUCCUGGCCCUCCACGCUCCAUUACGCUCUGUGGGGUCUUCUUUGCCUCCUAAUGGUCCACCCACUGUGCUUUCUGUUAGAAAUGUGAAAGCCUUCCGCAGCCCAGCUAACCCACCGAGUGAUCUCCAUUAAAAAUAGGAACCAUGCAGCUAGGAACCUUCACACCCUGAAGCCGAGCUAUCUGGAACAGAUCUCCAGCCCAGCAAAAAUGCUCCUCUUGGGCAAAUCACCCAGGCAUCUGAGAGUCUCUGGAGAAAGCUCUUGCUGAAACUGCUACGUCUUG